rnacentral:rRNA from 1 species
UACGGGGGGGGCAAGCGUUGUUCGGAAUUACUGGGCGUAAAGGGCGCGUAGGCGGUUCGCUAAGUUGGAUGUGAAAACUCUGGGCUCAACCCAGAGCCUGCAUCCAAAACUGGCGGGCUAGAGUUCUGGAGGGGGUAGCGGAAUUCCUGGUGUAGCGGUGAAAUGCGUAGAUAUCAGGAGGAACACCGGUGGCGAAGGCGGCUACCUGGACAGAAACUGACGCUGAGGCACGAAAGCCAGGGGAGCAAACGGG